AGUGAACGCUGGCGGUAGGCCUAACACAUGCAAGUCGAACGGCAGCACAGUAAGAGCUUGUUCUUACGGGUGGCGAGUGGCGGACGGGUGAGGAAUACAUCGGAAUCUACUUUUUCGUGGGGGAGAACGCAGGGAAACUUACGCUAAUACCGCAUACGACGUACGGGUGAAAGCAGGGGAUCUUCGGACCUUGCGCGAUUGAAUGAGCCGAUGUCGGAUUAGUGAGUUGGCGGGGUAAAGGCACACCAAGGCGACGAUCCGCAGUUGGUCUGAGAGGAUGAUCGGCAACACUGAACCGGAACACGGGUCCAAACCCCUAGGGGAGGAAGCAGUGGGAAAUAUUGGCAAAUGGGCGAAAGCCUGUUCAGGCCAUCCCGCGUGGGUGAAGAAGGCUUUGGGGUUGUAAAGCCCUUUUGUUGGGAGAGAGAAGAGGCAGGUUAAUACCCCGCUGUUCGAACGGACCCACAGGAAUAAGCACCGGCAACCUUGGG
rnacentral:rRNA from 1 species